GUGUACCCUCCUCCGUCGUAUCCCUCUGAUUCGUCGCAAUUCAUGAAUGCAUGUUUUAGAGCCGAAAAAUCACUUUCCACUUUAAUUGGCUACCCCGCAUAAUCGAAAACUGUACACUGAAUCUUCAGAACGAUUCUGUUCUGAUUACAUGUAUGGUGAAGAUUUGUGUUAUCGUCCUUUAAUACUUUUAUUUUUCACAAAUUUUUCGAUUCCUAAUGCGUCUUUGCUAGAAUUAACAAAAAUUAUUUAUGGAAGAUAAGUUGAAUGAUCUCAAGAACCAAAUUGAGUAUAUCUGCACCUGAGUGUAUCAUGUGUCGUCGCUAGAAGAAAAAAAGAAAAACAAAAAACCGACAACGAUUCAAAGUCGACGCGACGGAACCGAUACUGGAACCUGGAAAAAGUCUGGAGUUGGUGGUAAAAGCUCGAAAUGGCCAUACAGCUGCAGGAUCUGCACCCACGAGGUCAAAUUAUUUGGGAAAAAGACCAAAUGGUUGUUUCGCGGCUAAAAAAGACCUCCCGUAAGAAAAACAAUGCACGAAAUCGGGCGGCAGGAACCGGCCCCGGUAAUGUGUCGGAUCUUCAGCGCCUCAUGUGACAUUGGGUGCAGGACUUGUUUAAACCGAAACCAGGGCAUCAAAUUUUUCGGGAAGAUCCAUGGAAGCAACCGACUCCGAUUAUGUUCCAGGUCUUCUACGCCGUCUUUUACGUUAGAGCAAGAUAAGUGCCUGGGAGGAACCUGUAAAAUGUACAUGUAUGUACAUGUCGAGGAAAAAGAAAAAAACACGGAAGUUGAAGAUGGUCCCGAUCCCCGAUUCUCGAGUUUAAAAACAUCCGCCGAAAAGAACUCUGAAAUUUGACCUAAGCGAGAAGAAAAUACGGAACCGUAGGCUCAAAUCAAAGCCGAGAUAAAUUUUGUGCUGGUAGCCGUUUGAAAUAAUAUAUUUUCCAACGAGCCGCCUUGGAUUAAUAUAGGAAUUACUUUUGAUUGAUGCCUUAAUUGAUGGCGAAUCCUGAACAUAACCCUCAGCAUUAAUCUUUCCACAAAAAGUUUGAUGUAAAAUGGUCAUUAUAUAGGCAAUUCAAAUUAAUAUAGGUUCAUAUAUUUUAUAUUAUAAUCCAUGUUUACCAUUCUUGAAUAAAUAAUGUAUUUUUUUAGAAAUUGAAACAUGAAUCGUCUGCAUUUUCAUUUUUGAUCGUAAAAAGAUCUUUUGAAGAUACAAUGUAGCGUCCCA